CCCUUCUCUCCAAAAGCACCCUGCUGAAACUGCAGCAGCCAAGCCAUGUAGGUUUGGCUCAUGUGGUCGUGUAAGCAUGGGUACACCAGGGAAGGAGAUUAAAAACACAGAAUCACAAGUGAGGCUUGGAGGGACCUCUUUCUUAAUGUCCAUUGUCCUUUGGCUCAAGAUCCUGUGUUACAUGC